GGAUCUCUUGGUUCUGGCAUCGAUGAAGAACGCAGCGAAAUGCGAUAAGUAAUGCGAAUUGCAGAAUUCCAGUGAGUCAUCGAAUCUUUGAACGCACAUUGCGCCCUUUGGUAUUCCGAAGGGCAUGCCUGUUCGAGCGUCAUUAUCACCCCUCAAGCCCCCGGCUUGGUGUUGGACGGUUUGGCGGAGGCCCCCUCGGGGGCUCUCGCCCCUCCCAAAGACAAUGACGGCGGCCUCGUUGGACCCCCGGUACACUGAGUUCUUCACGGGACACGUACUGGAAUAAGGGUGCGCGGGGCACGGUCUGCCUCCCCUUCAGGGAGAAUCUUUAACUACAAGGUUGACCUCGGAUCAGGUAGGGAUACCCGCUGAACUUAAGCAUAUCAAUAAGCGGAGGA
rnacentral:rRNA from 1 species